AGAACUCAUGAGAGGACUUAUGGAGCACCCACUCCGUAGCGACUAGAACUCGCAUUGGACUUCUUUAAAAGGAGAAAACAAAUG
rnacentral:ncRNA from 1 species